rnacentral:rRNA from 1 species
UACGGAGGUGGCAAGCGUUGCUCGGAAUCACUGGGCGUAAAGGGUGCGUAGGCGGCGCGGUAAGUCGGGGUGUGAAAUCUUGGAGCUUAACUCCGAAACUGCAUUCGAUACUGCCGUGCUUGAGGACUGGAGAGGAGACUGGAAUUUACGGUGUAGCGGUGAAAUGCGUAGAUAUCGUAAGGAAGACCAGUGGCGAAGGCGGGUCUCUGGACAGUUCCUGACACUGAGGCACGAAGGCCAGGGGAGCAAACGGG